AUUGAACGCUGGCGGCAUGCCUUACACAUGCAAGUCGAACGGCAGCACGGGAGCAAUCCUGGUGGCGAGUGGCGAACGGGUGAGUAAUAUAUCGGAACGUGCCCAGUAAUGGGGGAUAGCCCGGCGAAAGCCGGAUUAAUACCGCAUACGACCUACGGGUGAAAGCGGGGGAUCGCAAGACCUCGCGUUAUUGGAGCGGC
rnacentral:rRNA from 1 species